rnacentral:rRNA from 1 species
CACGCACACACGCGCGGCAUAUCAAUAAGCGGAGGAAAAGAGACUAACAAGGAUUCCCUUAGUAACGGCGAGUGAAGCGGGAAGAGCUCAAAUUUGAAAUCUUCAAGGUUCUACCUUGACGAAUUGUAGUUUAUAGAAGUGUUUUCUGUUAGUGGAGUGGCAAAAGUUCUUUGGAAUAGGACAUCAUAGAGGGUGAGAAUCCCGUAUUUGGUCAUUCCUCCUAGCGUUGUGAUACACUUUCAGCGAGUCGGAUUGUUUGGGAAUGCAGUCCAAAAUGGGUGGUAAAUUUCAUCUAAAGCUAAAUAUUGGCGAGAGACCGAUAGCGAACAAGUACCGUGAGGGAAAGAUGAAAAGAACUUUGAAAAGAGAGUUAAACAGUACGUGAAAGUUGUCAAAAGGGAAGCGUUUGACACCAGUGUUGUUUUCUCGAAAAUCAAUUAAAAAUGAUGGGAUGUUGUGUUGUAUUGACUUUAUCAGCUUUCUGCACUUUUUUUCCUUAUCUUUUUUAAUGCACCUUUCGUUUAACAAGUCAACAUCAAUUUCUUUUGUUGUAAAAGAGGUCAUUGGAAGGUGGCUUUCUUUUCGGAGAAAGUGUUUAUAGCCUUUGGCUUCUGCAAUCGGAGAGAUUGAGGUCUGCAGCGUAGAUCCUUCGGGGUUAGAUACAUUUGUGCUAAGUUAUAGUCCUUUCAUAGACAACUUGUUGACUAUAAUCAAGUCAUGUAACUUACUCGCUUAUGUCAUUUUACCUACGCUUAGGAUGUUGAACUCUAUCACACACAG